rnacentral:telomerase_RNA from 1 species
GAUCUGUUGAACUAGCGAGUUAAUGAGUAAUAAGGAGCGUUGCUAAGACGUGUCCUUAUGUUGUAAACCUAACCUAAACCUUGUUUUCUCAUCUCCUCUUUAAUGUACAAUUUCCCUCGUUAUACGAUAUCUUGUACAUUAAGCCUGGGUUUUGUCGUCCUGGUUCCAGGUAAAAUAAAACGGUGUUUUUCACAUCUUUAACAGGAUAGUCUCGUUAACUCCUAUUUUGAACUUUCCAGAAAAUAAUAAUUGAGCUUUUU